rnacentral:rRNA from 1 species
UACGAAGGGGGCGAGCGUUGUUCGGAAUUACUGGGCGUAAAGGGCGCGUAGGCGGUUUGACAAGUCAGGCGUGAAAUUCCCGGGCUUAACCUGGGGGCUGCGCUUGAUACUGUCGAGCUUGAAUUCGGGAGAGGAUGGCGGAAUUCCCAGUGUAGAGGUGAAAUUCGUAGAUAUUGGGAAGAACACCGGUGGCGAAGGCGGCCAUCUGGCCCGACAUUGACGCUGAGGCGCGAAAGCGUGGGGAGCAAACAGG